rnacentral:rRNA from 1 species
GACGAACGCUGGCGGCGUGCUUAACACAUGCAAGUCGAACGGAAAGGCCCUGCUUUUGUGGGGUGCUCGAGUGGCGAACGGGUGAGUAGCACGUGAGUAACCUGCCCUUGACUUUGGGAUAACUUCAGGAAACUGGGGCUAAUACCGGAUAGGAGCUCCUGCUGCAUGGUGGGGGUUGGAAAGUUUCGGCGGUUGGGGAUGGACUCGCGGCUUAUCAGCUUGUUGGUGGGGUAGUGGCUUACCAAGGCUUUGACGGGUAGCCGGCCUGAGAGGGUGACCGGCCACAUUGGGACUGAGAUACGGCCCAGACUCCUACGGGAGGCAGCAGUGGGGAAUAUUGCACAAUGGGCGGAAGCCUGAUGCAGCAACGCCGCGUGCGGGAUGACGGCCUUCGGGUUGUAAACCGCUUUCGCCUGUGACGAAGCGUGAGUGACGGUAAUGGGUAAAGAAGCACCGGCUAACUACGUGCCAGCAGCCGCGGUGAUACGUAGGGUGCGAGCGUUGUCCGGAUUUAUUGGGCGUAAAGGGCUCGUAGGUGGUUGAUCGCGUCGGAAGUGUAAUCUUGGGGCUUAACCCUGAGCGUGCUUUCGAUACGGGUUGACUUGAGGAAGGUAGGGGAGAAUGGAAUUCCUGGUGGAGCGGUGGAAUGCGCAGAUAUCAGGAGGAACACCAGUGGCGAAGGCGGUUCUCUGGGCCUUUCCUGACGCUGAGGAGCGAAAGCGUGGGGAGCGAACAGGCUUAGAUACCCUGGUAGUCCACGCUGUAAACGGUGGGUACUAGGUGUGGGGUCCAUUCCACGGGUUCCGUGCCGUAGCUAACGCUUUAAGUACCCCGCCUGGGGAGUACGGCCGCAAGGCUAAAACUCAAAGGAAUUGACGGGGCCCCGCACAAGCGGCGGAGCAUGCGGAUUAAUUCGAUGCAACGCGUAGAACCUUACCUGGGUUUGACAUGGAUCGGGAGCGCUCAGAGAUGGGUGUGCCUCUUUUGGGGUCGGUUCACAGGUGGUGCAUGGCUGUCGUCAGCUCGUGUCGUGAGAUGUUGGGUUAAGUCCCGCAACGAGCGCAACCCUUGUUCACUGUUGCCAGCACGUUAUGGUGGGGACUCAGUGGAGACCGCCGGGGUCAACUCGGAGGAAGGUGGGGAUGACGUCAAGUCAUCAUGCCCCUUAUGUCCAGGGCUUCACGCAUGCUACAAUGGCUGGUACAGAGAGUGGCGAGCCUGUGAGGGUGAGCGAAUCUCGGAAAGCCGGUCUCAGUUCGGAUUGGGGUCUGCAACUCGACCUCAUGAAGUCGGAGUCGCUAGUAAUCGCAGAUCAGCAACGCUGCGGUGAAUACGUUCCCGGG